rnacentral:lncRNA from 10 species
AACAGAUGUUAGUAGUCAACUACAAGGCAAGCCAAGAUAACGUCCUAAACAGAAGUGCGAAGAGGUGUUGUAGGCAUACAUCAGAAAGAAGAAAUGCUUUUGACCAAGGAUCAAGGAAGGCUACAGAGAGGAAAUAACAAUGAGCUUAUUCGUGGGACUAUAUAAGAUAAGGGAGUGGAGUAUAUUUCAGGUUGAGGAAACAGCAUGAGCAGGCAUAAAUAUAAUAUAAUGUUUGGUGUGGGAGAAGCAGUGAAAUGUGAUGUCAAUGACUGGGGGGAUGUUCCAGGAGACUGGCUAAAAUAUUGUUGGCAGAAAAAUCAGGAAGGGCUUAGGAUACCAUGCUGAAGAAUUUGGACUUUAUAGGCAAUGGGGAUGCUUUUCUGCAAAGGGAAGAGAACUUUUGGGCAACUCCUCAAAUAUGAAAUCAAUGGGAGACAACCCUGAGUAAGGUUGAAAUGUUUCUCAUGACUAAAAAGUAGAGUGAGAAUAUUAUAGGCUACUUCUACUGGGAAGGGUUUGUAUAAACCAUAACCAUAUCUUUUAAAGUCCCAUUAGGCCUUGCUUCUAGUCCAUUAGUUUGGGAAUGUUAGGCUGACAUUUUUAUUCAUGUAACCCCAUUGUACUCUCAGAUAUUCCUGUAUCCAAGAGAGAUAAGUAAACCCUUAGCCUGAUCAUAGAACUUCUGAAUAUAUAUGGUUAGUUGAUGACACAUUUCUCUCUCCAGUUACCCAAGCUCCAUGAAACAAUCAUAAAGGAACAAAAGGACAAAGUAAUUGGGGGAAUAUAACAACAAUGAACACAGGGCUAGAGUGUGUAAUCCUGUUGCUGUCGUUAAUCCUGUUGCAGUUCACUCUUAUCCAAUUCUGUAUGCUCCUUAGAUCCAGAAACAGGCAUGUUAUGUCCUUGUGCAUCUGCUCUGCCCAGCUAGAUGUUGUCAUCCCUACCCAAGAAGAAUGCAUUAGAUCCAGUAAAAGCUUCAUGUUCAGUCUCAGUUGCAAAGAGCAGAGCAUUUCAAAGUAGGGGUCAUGAAGCCUGCUCCAUGGGCUUUACUGAUUGUCUGCAGGAAACCGCUCUCAUCUUAACCUCUGUGUCCUUGAAUCAAAAGACAUUUUUGCUGGUCACACAGGACAACGUUUUCUUAAUAUUCCUCAAAUUUCCCUACCAAAUCUUAAAAGUAUGAUUCUCCUCUGAGAGUUAAAGUAGCAAAACCUGUAUAUGACGCACAUGAUUCUUCAUUUUUUAGAAGAAACCAGAAAGACAUUUUGUAAAUGGACAGCUGAGUGAUAUGGGGCUAGUAAUGGAAGGGAGGCUUUGGAAGGGCUGGCCUUGAAUGUGAUUAACUUAACAGUAAAACCUGAUGAAAUCAAUCAGUUCCUUCCUGAAGAGACCACAGCAUGGUGCUGAAGAGCGUGAUCUCAGGAAUACAGAACUGGAUUUAAAUCCCUGCCUCAGAUGACUUUGUGAACCACGUAUCCUCUAUGGAAAUCAGUUUCUUCAUCAUUGAAAUGGAGAUAACUGGUAUUAUCCGCAGUGAUUUGCUUGCCUUUCUUACACUGUCUUGAUAUCUGCAUCUUUGAGAAUCCAAACUGACACAGUUGUCACCAGAACUGGACCAAGAAGUUUUACCUCAGUGCUAUGUUAACUCUGCCAUGCUUGUUGAUAAUAAAAUUCAAAGAGAUAUGGACCAUCUGGACAUACCGCAGGAUAUCAUAUUGAUCCAGUACAUCUGUGAUAUCAUGCUAAUUGGACAAG